GCUAAUUUAGCGUAGCGGUAAAGCGUUCGGCUUCAAGCCGGACUGAUUUUAGUGUCGUGAGUUCGAAUCCCGCUGUCCGCG
rnacentral:tRNA from 1 species